GUCUCAGUGGUGCAGUGAUUAGCGCACGAGCCCCUGUUAGGCGCGAGACGCGAGUUCGAAUCCCGCCUGAGAUG
rnacentral:tRNA from 1 species